UGGGGAAUUGUUCACAAUGGGCGCAAGCCUGAUGACGCAAUGCCGCGUGAGCGAUGAAGGCCUUAGGGUUGUAAAGCUCUUUUACCCGGGAUAAUAAUGACAGUACCGGGAGAAUAAGCUCCGGCUAACUCCGUGCCAGCAGCCGCGGUAAUACGGAGGGAGCUAGCGUUGUUCGGAAUUACUGGGCGUAAAGCGCACGUAGGCGGCUUUGUAAGUUAGAGGUGAAAGCCCGGGGCUCAACCCCGGAAUUGCCUUUAAGACUGCAUCGCUAGAAUUGUGGAGAGGUAAGUGGAAUUCCGAGUGUAGAGGUGAAAUUCGUAGAUAUUCGGAAGAACACCAGUGGCGAAGGCGACUUACUGGACACAUAUUGACGCUGAGGUGCGAAAGCGUGGGGAGCAAAC
rnacentral:rRNA from 1 species